ensembl:lincRNA
CAGACUUAAAGCCAAAUAUUUUUGCUAUCAUGUUUAUAUAUACAUACAUGUAUAUAUAUGUUUAACACAUAAUUAUAUAUAUGCACGUGUAUACGUAUGUAAAAUAUAUUUUUUUCCUGUUUCAGUCAGUGUUAACUAGAGAAACAAAUAUAAAACAAGGUGUACAGAUGUAUAAGAAUUGAUAAGAUUGGCUUGCAAUGGCCACCCACAGAGUCGACCAAGGAAGAGCGUAGAGGAUCUAUCUGCACACUGGAGACUGAAGGAUCCAGUCAAAGGUCUGGUGCUUCCUGCAGUGUCCUAUGUGAGUCUGUGUCAGGAGGCCGAUGGGUCUGAGAUGCCGGAAAGCUGAAAGAUCAGUGCCAAAAGCUGAAGAGCCUGUGCUGGAAGGCAAGAGAUGAUGUCCAAGGUGAAGGCAAAGACUGGAGCUCCUCCAGAGAAACAGAAGCGGACCCAUCCUUCAUUUUCCCUUUCUACCAUCCAGGUGACAAGCUGCCCUACAGUGGGUCUUCCACACCUUAGGCUAUGGAAUUGCUGAGUCAAUUAAGUUGAGCUUCUCUACUCAAGUUGACACAAUCGAUUAACCACCCAUCACAUUUCCUGUUUGGGAGAAACUAGAAAUAUGGGUUUUUUUAAAAUCUUAUUUUCUUUUUGUAUCUUGUCUUUUUGGUGCCCAAAUCUCUCCAUAUUACUGAGAGGAUAAGUUGGGUCUUUAUGUGGUGCUUCUGACAGAGAUAAUACAAGCCUCAAACUGGUAACAGCAUGUUUACUUUGAACAUGGAAAUAGUCUUAGUUUUGCCUUUAUUGUCUUUCCCCUUUGCUACCACAAAGUUAUUGGCCUUAUCCUCAGUCUGGAGUCCUUGCUGUGUCUGAGGUGUCUGCACCACUGUCAAGUAUCCAUCCAGAGACUAUGCUUAGUGACUGGAUCUGGAACUUCUGGCUUGCUAAAAUCUUACUAAUUGUACCAAGUAAUGGCAUUUCUCCCAAGGAAAGAGGAACAGACUUUCUGACAUUAGCAGGACCCUCAAUUAGGAAACAGAGACAGCCACACAGCACACCUCUGGGAUGAAAGGUCUCCUUGCAGUCCCUGGACAGUUGGCAAGAUUGGCCUUUCUGCACUGCCAUCUUCCCGGUCUCCAUAGGGAACAGGUGAGUCUUGGGAAGUAGGACCAGUGUGACCAAGAAUGCAGCUCAGCUUCUCUGUGAUGUCAUCUGGGCCUCUCUGCUGCAGCAGAAGUGGGAAGAAAGGACCCUGAAAAGGGAUGUGGUUGCAAGUAACACACGUAUGUGUGGAGAUGCUGUGGAGAGCUGCUUGGGGAGAUGUGGGGCAGACUGGGGAGUGAAAGAGGGACCAAGGUGUCUCUGGAGGACCAAUUAGGAUCUUUCUGGAGGGAAGGUCUUCAGGGCACAGACCAUGAGUGCAGGUCAUUUGCUGGAUAUAUCCUCUAAUCUCUGUUCUGAAGUGAGGAGAUUCUGUGUUCCAUCACUCCUGGGAGGAGGAAAGAAUUCUCUCCACGGCAGCUUCCCCUUGAAGCUUGUUGUCUGAGAAAAUUUUCUAUUUCAGGCAUUGUCAUAUUUAUUUGUAUUUCACUUUAUCAUUUUACCAGACAUAACCAUGUCAAAGUAUAAUUUUGGAAAUCUCAUAUCAGUCAGUCAUGCUGUAAAUUAGUUCCUGAUAGUGCAUUCCUUGACAUGCUAAUGUUACAGCAUAAUUUAAGGAAAAUGUCCCACAGUUAUCAAAUUUUGUGAAGGUUGCAAGUGUGUUCUGCCUCUACACGUCUACUGUGAGGAUAAACACACUUGGGGCUACUAAAUAAUUGUUUAUGAAUAUAUAAAAACCUUGCUGUAUAGUUGGCUUUGUAUAAAUAUUGGAACUCUUUCUUUUGAUGUUCCAGGAGACCUAAAGAAAAUGUGAAAAUCAGGAAAAUAUAGGAGAAAAUAUAGUAGCAACCUGAAACGUGUCUGAAACAGUCAUCUUAGGACUUAUGCCUAAUUCCAUAUGCCCACCAG